rnacentral:rRNA from 1 species
AAAUUGAAGAGUUUGAUCAUGGCUCAGAUUGAACGCUGGCGGCAGGCCUAACACAUGCAAGUCGAACGGUAGCACAGAGAGCUUGCUCUCGGGUGACGAGUGGCGGACGGGUGAGUAAUGUCUGGGAAACUGCCUGAUGGAGGGGGAUAACUACUGGAAACGGUGGCUAAUACCGCAUAACGUCGCAAGACCAAAGAGGGGGACCUUCGGGCCUCUUGCCAUCAGAUGUGCCCAGAUGGGAUUAGCUUGUUGGUGAGGUAACGGCUCACCAAGGCGACGAUCCCUAGCUGGUCUGAGAGGAUGACCAGCCACACUGGAACUGAGACACGGUCCAGACUCCUACGGGAGGCAGCAGUGGGGAAUAUUGCACAAUGGGCGCAAGCCUGAUGCAGCCAUGCCGCGUGUAUGAAGAAGGCCUUCGGGUUGUAAAGUACUUUCAGCGGGGAGGAAGGUGUUGCGGUUAAUAACUGCAGCAAUUGACGUUACCCGCAGAAGAAGCACCGGCUAACUCCGUGC